rnacentral:tRNA from 1 species
GUGGCUCAGUGGUAGAGUGCUUGCCUAGCAUGCAUGAAGCCCUGGGUUCGAUUCCUCAGC